rnacentral:rRNA from 1 species
UACGGAGGGUGCAAGCGUUGUCCGGAUUUAUUGGGUUUAAAGGGUGCGUAGGCGGCCUAAUAAGUCAGUGGUGAAAGCCUCCAGCUUAACUGGAGAACUGCCAUUGAUACUGUUAGGCUUGAGUAUACUUGAGGUAGGCGGAAUUGACAGUGUAGCGGUGAAAUGCAUAGAUAUUGUCAAGAACACCAAUUGCGAAGGCAGCUUACUAAAUUAUAACUGACGCUGAGGCACGAAAGUGUGGGUAGUCAAACAGGA